rnacentral:rRNA from 1 species
GAUGAACGCUAGCGACAGGCCUAACACAUGCAAGUCGAGGGGCAGCACAUGAGUAGCAAUAUGAUGGUGGCGACCGGCGCACGGGUGAGUAUCGCGUAUGCAACCUACCUUCCACAGGGGGAUAGCCUUCCGAAAGGGAGAUUAAUACCGCAUAAAACAGGGGCCCCGCAUGGGGAUAUUUGUUAAAGAUUUAUCGGUGGGAGAUGGGCAUGCGUUCCAUUAGCUAGUUGGCGGGGUAAUGGCCCACCAAGGCAUCGAUGGAUAGGGGAACUGAGAGGUUUAUCCCCCACACUGGAACUGAGACACGGUCCAGACUCCUACGGGAGGCAGCAGUGAGGAAUAUUGGUCAAUGGGCGGGAGCCUGAACCAGCCAAGUCGCGUGAAGGAAGACGGUUCUAUGGAUUGUAAACUUCUUUUGCACUGGGGUAAAACGGGGGACGUGUCCCCCCUUGCAAGUACAGUGCGAAUAAGCAUCGGCUAACUCCGUGCCAGCAGCCGCAGUAA